rnacentral:misc_RNA from 1 species
CAGAUUUUUGUUUACAUUGUUAGACAUCUUUUCACAAGUCUACAAGAAGAACUAACAAAUCUGACAUUUAUAUUGGUGCAUGUAUUAAAUUGUUAAUGUAUUGAUUGUUUAGUCACAAGAAUACAUCUCUUUUGAAGUAUUAUAGAUCAGUCAUUUACUUGUAAAUUUGUGUAUGAACGCGAGUUCUAUUUUGUUUUAUUUAUUCAUACUUAAAAUUGAACAAACAUCCAAUCAUUUUCUUUACUGUCAAUAAGUUCAUGUAAAUAAUUAUAUGUCAAUGCUGCUCUCAUGGAAUAAUAACCAACAUCAAUUUUAUCAUUUUUUUUCUCUUAACUGCUCAUUAUGUAGAUUUUUAUUCUUAAUGCUAUGGUCUCUGUAAUACAGCUCUUUUGAGUUGCAUGUAACUUAUGUUCUCUUUUCAUACUAUCUAUGUGUACACAACAUCAAUUUAUACUAUUGUAUGUAUAUAUAUAAGUAGGAAUGUAGAAAAAAGGACUAUUUCCCUUUUGAGAUUUUUACAUUCAAUAUGUGUACUUCUGCAUUGAUUAUGUAAUUUUCAUCAUUUGGUGCAUGAUAUUUCUGAAUCAGCUUUGGGUGAAGAGUACAGACAAAUAAAGUAUGUGUGUGAAGCAUGAACUAUUGCAGGCAGUUCUGUACUUUAAAAAUCCAUUUAUUUUGACUGCUUUAUAGUUUAUGACAAGUGAUAGAAAUGUACCUGAUAUUCAAUAUAGUAAUAGACCCUCUUUUACUUGU